GCGUUGUCCGGAAUCAUUGGGCGUAAAGGGCGUGUAGGCGGCCCGGUAAGUCCGCUGUGAAAGUCCAGGGCUCAACCCUGGGAUGCCGGUGGAUACUGUCGGGCUCGAGUCCGGAAGAGGCGAGUGGAAUUCCUGGUGUAGCGGUGAAAUGCGCAGAUAUCAGGAGGAACACCAAUGGCGAAGGCAGCUCGCUGGGACGUGACUGACGCUGAGACGCGAAAGCGUGGGGAGCAAACAGG
rnacentral:rRNA from 1 species